AUGACUAGAGGACCCCGGGAUCUAGGAUUAGCGAUGCAAGCCACCAUUUUACAUAGGUGUUGGGAUUGGAACUCAAGUGCCCGUGCUUGUGCAGGAAGCAUUUUACCCACUGUGUCGUCUCCCCAGCCCUUCACAUGCUGCUUGCUAUGUUUUGACUGGAUCCCAAGUACUGCCCUGCUCAAGGCUAAGUCUCAUUUCCAUCCAAGGGCGAAGGAAGCUAAGGCUGGGAAAGCCAAUAGUACAUAUGCACAGCAAGGACAGAGACACAUUCACCUCCGAGCCAGCAGGGACCCUGAGUGGAGACUCAUCCUGUUGUCAUUCUCUGAGCCUGCAGGAGCUGUAGCAUGGGCUGUUGAAGGUCUGUUCCCUGUCUACAUGGUGUGCUGCAGGGCUGGGUUCUACUCUGGUCACAGUGCCAGGAGCCUCCUAAGUACCAGCAGGCCUUAAGCUACAAACAGAAGUCCACAGUGAAAGGUUGGGUCAUGAGGGAGGACACCAGGCAGAAUUCUU
rnacentral:lncRNA from 1 species